UUUGGAAACAAAAAAAAAGCAAGGAGAGGUGUCCUGAAUCUCAUACUGAAGCCGUACUUCGAAGAUGUGUGGCUGAAGUACAAGUUCUGAGGCUCCCCCAUGCCCUGAGCCUGGGUGGGGACAUUGUCUUCUGAUGGAGUCGCCGAGGAGGAGCCGUUGACUUUGGUGUGGACGCUCAAGCUGCUGUCAAUCACAACGCCGCGUUCCAGGCCAGAACUGAAUUCUGCUCCCUUGCUCAGAGGGCCACUCGGGGAUCCAGGCAGGUGAGGGGAGGUGGAAGAUUCUGC
rnacentral:lncRNA from 1 species